AUUGAACGCUGGCGGCAUGCUUUACACAUGCAAGUCGAACGGUAACAGCACUUCGGUGGCUGACGAGUGGCGAACGGGUGAGUAAUACAUCGGAACGUGCCUAGUAGUGGGGGAUAACUACUCGAAAGAGUAGCUAAUACCGCAUGAGAUCUAAGGAUGAAAGCAGGGGACCUUCGGGCCUUGCGCUACUAGAGCGGCUGAUGGCAGAUUAGGUAGUUGGUGGGAUAAAAGCUUACCAAGCCGACGAUCUGUAGCUGGUCUGAGAGGACGACCAGCCACACUGGGACUGAGACACGGCCCAGACUCCUACGGGAGGCAGCAGUGGGGAAUUUUGGACAAUGGGCGCAAGCCUGAUCCAGCAAUGCCGCGUGCAGGAUGAAGGCCUUCGGGUUGGAAACUGCUUUUGUACGGAACGAAAAGCCCUCUUCUAAUACAGGAGGGUCAUGACGGUACCGUAAGAAUAAGCAACGGCUAACUACGUG
rnacentral:rRNA from 1 species